rnacentral:rRNA from 1 species
UACAGAGGGUGCGAGCGUUAAUCGGAUUUACUGGGCGUAAAGGGCGCGUAGGUGGUAAAGCAAGUCAGAUGUGAAAGCCCCGGGCUUAACCUGGGAAGUGCAUCUUAAACUGCUUAACUAGAGUAUGGUAGAGGGUAGUGGAAUUUCCGGUGUAGCGGUGAAAUGCGUAGAUAUCGGAAGGAACGCCAGUGGUGAAGACGACUACCUGGAUCAAUACUGACACUGAGGCGCGAAAGCGUGGGGAUCAAACAGG